rnacentral:tRNA from 1 species
GGGGGUAUAGCUCAGUUGGUAGAGCGCUGCCUUUGCAAG